rnacentral:lncRNA from 1 species
AGAGCCUGAGUGCGCCGCCGGUUCAGCCGGGCAGGGUCGCCUCGCGCCAGGAUGCUGCGCCCCGCCGCCCUGUCCAGCCAGCAACCCUGGCGCGACCCCGGGAAGAAGCACAGGUUCUUUCGUCCAGUCGCCGCUGGAGGACCGAAAGUUUUGCUCGCUGCAAGUCUCUUCCUCCCAGAGUCCCAGUCACCCACCAUGCGACGUCCCAGAAGGAUCCCGGAGGCUUAGUGGGAACGAAAUCGGCUGUUUUGCACCCCUCCAUCCUUAUCCCUCAGGGUAGAGCAGGGACUCUAGAGAGUACACCUCCCAGCUACCAUCCACUUCACCCUGUCUCCUCUCUCGGUGAGCCUUGGAAUCCGGUCUCUUCGCAGAUGCCUUCAGGAGUCAGAAGCAAAGGGGAAAUGGACAUAACUCCGAGAAACCGAGUGAACGUCCAGCCUCAGCAACAGCUUUGCCACCAUGAGCUUCAUUGAUCACAUCCUACCACAACUAGGAGACCUAAACCUUGCUCACUGACAGCAUUUGAAGAUGCAAAUACUGCUAUGGAUUGGAAGGUGCCUGAGGAAUGAAAGGGGACAUAGCCAUUAUGACCCACCUCGUGAGAUUUUAGGGAAGAAAGACCAUAGUGAUUGCAUCUAUUAAGAAGCCCUUACUGACCUGCAUGGUGAGGCUCGUGUGAAAUUUCAGCAUGCGGGAGAUUGAGACAGAAGGAUCACAAGUUCAAGGCCACCCUAGGCUAUGUAUCAAGAACUUUUUUUGAACAAAGAAAAAAGAAACGGCAGUACAUAAUUUCUCCUAAGUAAGUAUUCUACCAUUCGGAUACUGAUCAACUAAAGGAAUUGUCUCAGUUAAUGUCAUGUCAUGUAACUGCCCCAGUUAGAUCAGCCUGGGGUAUCUCAGAGAAUAACAACCUCAUUUUCUAGAACCAGAAAAGCGGACUGGCUCCCCUUGCCUGAUAUGUAGAAGAUAAAUGACACAGGGGCCUGAGUGGGAUAGUGGCCACCCUGAAGCAGCCAAGGCUUGGGAGAAGAGAAAUCUGAUCUGAGCAGGACAUGCCUCGCUGAUAUAAAUAGAUGGUGACAUAGUGGCCCAGCACUGCAGGCAGGGGCAGUGGCUACCUUAACAACCAGCCUGAGACACAGAGAUGGUAGUUUCCCAUAGUGACAGCCUUCAGUGGACAGUGAGCAAAUCCCAAGGGUGGUCUAGAUAGGGGUGAGAGAAUUCUGCAGGGCCUCAGGACUACAAUCACAACACGAAGUCAUGUGACAUGGGUAAGAAGACAGAGUUUUCAGUUGGUCUGACUUCAAAGGGCUGGAGAUGAGGCUGUCAGCUGAGAGCUCCUGCUUGCCGAAGACCAUGGGCUGGAAUCCCUGUACUGCAUGGACCAGAUGUGGUGGCACAUGAAGGUCAAGGCUAUCCUCAACCACACAUGAGUUCAAGGUCAGCCUGGGAUACAUGCAAUCCUGUCUCAAAACAAAGAACAGUUCUUUCAAGAGGAAAUCUUAACAUUAAGGCUGUGCUGAUCCAAGGUGAGAAAGAUGAGUUUUUCAAGACUCCGUAACACUCAGUUACAACCACAUUAUAGAGACACUGAAGUUUCUCCUUUUGGUGGUCCCAGCACAAUCUCCAGCCCUGGGGAUUCAAAGACAGAGAGAAGGAAACAGUCACUCAGAUUAGGCAACCAAGUGUCUCAGAUACCAGGGGCCCGAGCUGGUCAAACCAAGAGCAAAAAUAACAGCUUCUCCUUGCACACCCAGAAGUAUUCUAGGUUAGAGAGUAAGUUCUCAGCCAACCCCAGUUCUGAGCUAUGUCCUCCAACUAUUGUGUUUGUGCUGCGAUUCCUUACUGGCUAAAAAAGGAUAUCCUGGCUAAAGAAUAAUUGCCAGAAUCACACAGCACCUGUUUGAAGUAGUCAGAUUUUCCCUCUUGCAUAGAGAACAAUUGUUAUCCAAAUUUUUUUUCAUAGGAAGAAAAAUCCUAAAUGAGAACAAUCUGCCUAAAAUAAAUGUUAGAAUUUUGAUAUGUUGGUAGCCUAUUGCUAUCCACACAUUAUCUCUCUA